UCGUGAUCUGUAGAUUCUGUAGAUCGUCUGCCUGAAAUGGAAUAAAUCGAUUAUUUGAUAUUUUUCCUUAGCAUUCAUAUGAUAUAUCUACAUAGGUACCCACUGAUUAUUUUGUAAUAUUGUUUGAACCAAAGACUCUUUGGUUAUUGAUUACGAGAAAACCUUUAAAAUGAGGUUUUUUCGACGGAGAUAAUUAUUGGAAGAGAUAAUUAUGGAAGAAGUUUUUUUUGAGGAUACCUGAAACUGAAGAUUAUCCAUUUUACACCUCUUCUCAGCUGCCACCGUCAUUUUGACUAAAUCCAGCAUACAAAUCUCAAGGCCAGUAAUUUCCAAUUUCUAUAAAAAAUGUGGAGUUCUUACACUGUACUUUUUUGAACAAACAAUAAUUUGGUGCAGUUAGUUAUCUAACUGGAUUCAACUUGAAUAGCAAAAACUGUGAACGUUGUGUCAUUGAUUUUAAAUUUAGCGUGAAAACCUUUUUUUUAUUCCUUCUGGAAAUUGUGAAGGUUUCACUAAUUGGACAUUCAACCAUAUUAAUUUGCUAUUUUGCUGUCGAUUUUUAAAUAGUUUUUACAUUGGUUUUAAACCUAAAAAUUACGUGGAGUAUUUUAAUGGAAAUAUUGAAAAUCCUGUGAAUCUAUAACUAAUUGCUCACUGGCGAAAAACUAUGGGUUAUAUAAAAAUAAUUAAUGGUUACACCAUUUUGUCUCAUUUCAAUUUAUCAGAUUUAUUGGUAUUUUUUUGAGAAAGAACAAUACAAAAAUUGUUAACUUCAAACGAUAAAGCAUGUGUCGAUAAAUCUCAGUAUUAGCAGAGGAAAUGUACAUUUCAAAGUUUGAUACAAGAGUACAGAUAAAAACCUCAGCAAAAAUUCUGUCUCCUCGUAGAGGUCUAGUGUUUGGUUUAUGUAUUUGUUCACUGAUUAAGUUGACAUAAUUCAAUGAAGGCCUUUUUUUUCAUCCAAACAAAAUACUUUCAUCCUUUUCGCCAGAAGUUGAUGACGCAAAUAUUAUAUUCGAAUCUGAAAAAAAAAAAGGAAAGAAUCAGAAAGAAAUGUUAAAUGUUUUAGUUCCACAUCAAAUGAUGUUAUAAACAACAAUAAUUUGAAGGAUGAUUUAUACAUCAAUUUUUGUCAUUUUCAUUCUGAUUCAAGUAUGAAUACUUCUCAUUCUGCUAUUGAUAUACAGGGAGUUUCGUGAAUAAGAGUACAUGAUUUCAAUGUGAAAGCAGGAAAAUUUUGAUAGUAUGAAUUAGUGUUCACACAAAUAAUGAGUGCAUUCGUUUAUAAUAUACUGGGUGUUUUAUGCAUUUCAACGAAAAUUCCCAAUUGGUAUAACUCUUCAAAGCUGUUGAAUUUCAUCAAAAUUUCAAAGACUAUUUCUAGGAUAAUGACCAAUAUUAUUCGGACUGAGAAAAUUUGAUAUAAAUAUAAUGCUGAAGGUUUUCAUAUUUGAUUAGAUGUUGAAUCUAAUAUAAUACCUAUAAAGCAAUCAUUUUUCAAAUUACAGAUAAACGCGUAUGGGUCACAUUAAAUUCUAUGUCUAUGUUGAAUUUGUCACGGAAUUCCAUGAUUACUAUAACUUUUAUAUCACCUUUAUCGGCCUCAACGCCCAAAUCAAAAUCAUUAUCCAUCACCAUAACACCAAAAAUGAAUGCACAAAAUCCUUCAACAUCUGAUAAUCCAAAUGAGUAAUUUUUAAAUGUUUUCUGUCAAAUCUGACAUUAGUUAAGUUCCAAAGCUCCACUUACAACGGUUAAGCCAAACCAAUUCUUGGGCUUUAAAUUCAGAAUAAGUUAAGGUUCGCUUAGCGAUCUGUGGAGUGUAUUAAGCGAAGCUUUAGUAAUUUAAGCUGAUCUUAUGAUUACAGGGUAACCUGUAGAAUCGGUCAUAGCCAUUUAAUUUAAAUUAAUUAAAUGAAAAUUGUUUCGCUACAUAGUUGCUUCUUCAGUUUUUACAUUUUGAAUAACUGAAAAUGUUAUUCUAAUAAUAAAAAUUUGAAAUAGAAUAACUCUCAUUUGAUUUCGGUCAAAAUAACAAAAUUAUAUCUGCAUUCUUGAAAAUAAUAUUUUUCAUUUAUUUUCAUAAAUGGCAUACGUAAAAAUAUAAUCCCAUAUAAAACAAUAAAAAUAUUCUUCUCUAGUUCAAUAUAUUGAAUUAUUGAAUAGGUACCUUAGAUUGCUGAAGAAAUCCCAUGAAUUAAUCGUUCAAACACUGAAAUCCUGAUGAGGAACAGGAAAUAAAAAAAUCAUACAAUCCAUUCAAGAUAUUCAAAAUGAAUUUUUUUAUAUUCGUUUAAAUCAAUAAAUUUUCCAACUUACAAGUUAUAAACUUUUUCGAAAGAGUAUCCAAAUCAUGUAACUCAAUUAAUUUCGUGAUUUCACGUUUAUUAUGAUGUAUGGUAAAGUUUUUCGUUGAAUUUAUUAACAAUCAUUUGCCUAAUUUUUCGAUACCCAUUCAUCUUUUUACCCAUUUUCAGAAAGUGGAGUUGAUGUUUUCCAUUUUCGUUCAGGAUUACAACUUCUUUGCUUGAUAGAGCUUCAAAUUUAUCAACUGCAAAAAGACGUGAAAUUAAUUGUGAAUUGUUAGAAAAAUAUUAUUGUGAUGACAUUUCAGAAUGCUGAAGGCUUUCACAUCUAGAUUCUCCUACAAAUUCAGAAAAUUCCAGGUUUUUUAGCCAUAAUUAACUUAUUUUUGAUAAUAUUGGAAUUUCUUUUAGAUAAGAGUUUGAAAUCAAAGAAUUUGAAUUGGAAAAAAGAAACAUUAUUUUCAAAGCACUAACCUAUUCAAAAUAUUUUUUAUGUUCGAAUAAUUCAAAAGAAUAACUGGAAAAAAAUAUAGACUUUGCCGGAAUGAAAUACAAUUAUAUUCCUCUUCAAAUUGGCAGCAUAUAAAUAUUUACAUUUUCACAUGAUUUGAAUGAGACACAAUUAUAAUUUUCGUAGUAUGAAAUAUAAAGUAAAUAUGAUCAGCUGAGAAGUUUUAUCAGACUUUAUGAUUUUUUUCAUUUAUUUUCAUGAAUUAAUAUCAUAAAUAAUAAUAAUAAAUAAGUUUAUUGAAGCAGAAAAAUAUAACGAAAAACAGUUUCUGAAAAUACAAUUAAAUACAUAAAAAUUAUACCAUAUAUAAAACUAUAAAAAUUUGCAUUCCUAGUUCAACAUAUUAAAAUAGUAGGUAAAUACCUGAUACUAAUAACGAAACCAUCAAAUUAAUCAUUCAAAUAUAUACCUACUGAAAAGAAGCGAGACAUGAUUAAAUAAAACAAUUCAUUAUUAUUCUAGUAUGUAUAUGUCAUGAUAACUAUUUACAUUAAUAAAUUUAUUUACAUUAUUUGAAACCUUAUUCCAAUAUUCUACAUUAAUUAAAUUCAUUAUUAAUAUCGAUUAUUUUGCGUUUUUAUCAGCGAUAUCUGGAAAAUUUCUCAAAAGAUUCAUUAUCAGAACUUUUACUCUCAAGUUCUUUUCCAAAUCUUCUUUUUUUUCAGAGAGUGGAGUUGAUGUUUUUCAUUUUCAUUCAAGAUCACAACUUCUUUGCUUGGUAGAGCUUCAAAUUCAUCAACUGCAAAAAGACGUAAAAUUAAUUGUGAAUUGUUAAAAAAAUAUUAUUGUGAUGACAUUUCAGAAUGCUGAAGGCUUUCAGAUCUAGAUUCUCCUACAAAUUCAAAAAAUUUCAGGGUUUUUUAGCAGUAUACGAAAGUGUUUAUACACUGAUAUUUUGUCUACAAAUGCCUUAAAACCUCUAGAAAUAUCCAGCGUAGUAGUGAAAUAACGAAAUUUGCACUAAAUAUCAACUUAACUACGUAUUAAAAUUCAAUAAAUUUCUUUGCUUCCAUCUUCACUUCUUUUUUUUUUAUCGGGUGACGUCGUUUUCACUGUUGAUUCAUCUUUUUGUUCUUAUGUCAUGAGGACGUUUCUAUUGAAUUAUUUGCUCCAUCAACGCCAUCCAUUGAGAGGGCUUCAAAUUCUUCAACUGAAAAAACACAAAAAAUGAUUGUAAAUAGAACAAAAAAAAUUAAUUAAUGUUAUUUUAUAAUGCUGAAGGCUCGCACUUCUAGAUUGUUCUACAAAUUAAAAAAAAAAUUCGUUAUCAGGUGAGGACGUUUCUAUAAAUUCAUCCGCUCCAUCAACGCCAUCCAUUGAGAGGGCUUCAAAAUCGUCAAUUGAAAAAAAAACAAAAAAUUAAUUAUAAAUAAUAGAGAAAAAAUUAAUAAAUUAUAUUUUAUAAUGCUGAAGGGUCGCACUUCUAAAUUAUUCUACAAAUUCCAAAAAAUUCGGUUUUUUUGCAGUGGCCCAAUAGGCUUUUCAACUGAAGUUUCCUCUACAAUUGCGGUAAAAAUAUCUAAUUCAAUUUAUGUAGACAUAAAUUAAAUUAUCAUAAUUAUUAAUAUUAAUUAUUUCGCGUUUUUAUCCGCGAUAUCUGGAAAAUUUCUCAAUAUAUUCAUUAUCAGAACUUUUACCCUCAAGUUCUUUUCCAAAUAUUCUUCCUUUUCAUUUAAUUUUUUCAGAAUCAUUUCCAAAAUUUUUUUGUUUUCUUGUUCACCCCUUUCGUCAUCAGGUGAGGACGUUUCUAUUGAAUUUUUUGCUCCAUCAACGCCACCCAUUGAUAGGGCUUCAAAUUCUUCAACUGAAAAAACACAAAAAAUUAAUUAUAAAUAGAACAGAAAAAAUUAAUAAAUGAUAUUUUAUAAUGCUGAAGGCUCGCACUUCUAGAUUGUUCUACAAAUUCCAAAAAAUUCGGUUUUUUUGCAGUGGUCCAAUAGGCUUUUCAACUAAAGUUUCCUCAACAAUUGUGGUAGGAGAAAAAAAACUCACUUGAAAUACCAAUUUAACCAUGAAUAAAUUCUCAUUCUAAAUAUAAUAAGUUGAAGAUUAUAAAAAUAUCAACACGAUCAUUCCAAUCGCUCAUUUCGUCGAUGAGUUUAUCGAAUUCGUCAGAUGAUUCCAUAUCUUCAACAUAUUUCGUUAGUCCUUCCAAGGAUUCGAAAACAGGGAAUAAUAAAAUUCACAACUAGCACACAAAUUUUUUUCAUCACUAUGUGGACAGUGGGAAACCACACACAUUGUAUACAAUGAGCAUAUCAUUGAUUAGAAACGAUAUCGAAUCUGAAGACCGUAUAUUCGUUUCCAAUUCGGACUUUGAAUCCCACCAAUUUACAAUUUGAAAAUAUGAAACUGAAAAAAAAGUGUAGAAUUUGAUGUGGCAAAUAUAUCUACUAAAUGGCAGACUUUUGGCACAUUUACCCAUUAAUUUGAAAAAACCUGAAGAAAUUGCCUUCAAUCUUUUCAAAAUUACCGCUUCCGUAAUUUUCCUCAUUAUGAGAUUUUGCAGAACUUCAUUCUCAUAUUGUACAUAAGUUGAAUGCAUGAUUUCACGUUUUCAUUUAUGAUAUCUGGAAACAUUUUUCUGAAAAUUUGUGAACGAAACUUCAGCUCUUAAGUUUCUCUCAAAAUAUUGAAUAUUUUCGUUGAAUUUUUUGACAGUGAUCCAAAUAUAAUAAGUUGAAGAAUAUAAAAAUCUCAACAAGAUCAUUCCAGUUCCUCGUUUCGUCAAUAAGUUAAUCGAAUUCGUCAGAGGAUGCCAUUUCUUAUUUCGUCUAUAAAAUUAUGAAAUUCAUCAAAUUAUACAAUUUUAGCUGAAUAUUUCGAUAAUUUUUCUGAAGAUUCGAAAACAAGAAAUUAUAAGAAAUAUUAUUCAAUAACUUGCUUCUCACUGACCAGUAAAUGAAUACACUAUACUCCAUUGAAGAAUUAAUUCCAUAAUUAUUCUAUUCCAAUAAUCUCCCUAAAUUCUCCUCAAAUCUGUUGCAUUUUUUGGAAUCAUAAUCAUAAUCAUUAUCUAUGAAGAAACGCCUUUAUUUUUUUCAUCACUAUGUGGACAGUGGGAAACCACAAACAUUGUAUACAGUGAGCAUAUCAUUGAUUAGAAACGAUAUCGAAUCUGAAGACCGUAUAUUCGUUUCCAAUUCUUACUUUAAAUCCCACCAAUUUACAAUUUGAAAAUAUGAAACUGAAAAAAAAGUGUAGAAUUUGAUGUGGCAAAUAUAUCUACUAAAUGGCAGACUUUUGGCACAUUUACCCAUUAAUUU